GCGACUGUGGCUCAAUGGGAAGAGUAGUUGUCUUGCAAUCCAAAAGUUGUGGUUUCAAUUCCAACUUCUGCUGUCACA